CAAUAGCGUAUAUUAAAGUUGUUGCGGUUAAAAAGCUCGUAGUUGGAUUUCUGCUGAGGACGACCGGUCCGCCCUCUGGGUGAGUAUCUGGCUCGGCCUUGGCAUCUUCUUGGAGAACGUUGCUGCACUUGACUGUGUGGCGCGGUAUCCAGGACAUUUACUUUGAGGAAAUUAGAGUGUUUCAAGCAGGCAUACGCCUUGAAUACAUUAGCAUGGAAUAAUAAGAUAGGACCUCGGUUCUAUUUUGUUGGUUUCUAGAGCUGAGGUAAUGAUUAAUAGGGAUAGUUGGGGGCAUUCGUAUUUAACUGUCAGAGGUGAAAUUCUUGGAUUUGUUAAAGACGGACUACUGCGAAANCANNNGCCAAGGAUGUUUUCAUNGA
rnacentral:rRNA from 1 species